rnacentral:rRNA from 1 species
UCGAGCGUUUCUCAGCUAUGAAAGAGACGCGGCAGACGGCUCAGUAACAUGUGGCUAACCUGCCCUUAGGACAUAGAUAACCCCGGGAAACUGGGGCUAAUAUUUGAUAAGCGUGGAUUCCUGGAAUGGAUCCACACUCAAAGGGCGUCUAGAUCAUGCUUUAGGCGUCGCCUAAGGAUGGGGCCGCAGCCGAUCAGGUUGUUGGUGGGGUAACGGCUCACCAAGCCUAUAACCGGUACGGGCCGCGAGAGCGGUAGCCUGGAGAUGGACACUGAGACAAGGGUCCAGGCCCUACGGGGCGCAGCAGUCGCGAAAACUCCGCAAUACACGAAAGUGUGACGGGGCUAUCCCGAGUGCCGUCCGCUGAGGAUGGCUUUUCUCCAGUGUAAGGAGCUGGAGGAAUAAGGAGAGGGCAAGUCUGGUGUCAGCCGCCGCGGUAAUACCAGCUCUCCGAGUGGUGGGGAUGUUUAUUGGGCCUAAAGCAUUCGUAGCCUGUUGAGCAAGUCCUCCGUUAAAUCCAACGAUUCAAUCGUUGGGCUGCGGGGGAUACUGCCGGACUAGGGGGCGGGAGAGGCCGACGGUAUCCCCGGGGUAGGGGUGAAAUCCUAUAAUCCCGGGAGGACCACCAGUGGCGAAGGCUGUCGGCUAGAACGCGCUCGACGGUGAGGGAUGAAAGCUGGGGGAGCGAACCGGAUUAGAUACCCGGGUAGUCCCAGCUGUAAACGAUGC